GAGUUUGAUCCUGGCUCAGAACGAACGCUGGCGGCAGGCCUAACACAUGCAAGUCGAGCGCUCUCCUUCGGGAGGGAGCGGCGGACGGGUUAGUAACGCGUGGGAACGUACCCUUUUUCUACGGAAUAGCCUCGGGAAACUGAGAGUAAUACCGUAUACGCCCCCCCAAUCAAAUUCCAUUUGAUUGGCGAAUUCAAUGAAUCGUCAGAUGUCGAGUGGCAUUUGAUGGGGGGGAAAGAUUUAUCGGAGAAGGAUCGGCCCGCGUUAGAUUAGAUAGUUGGUGGGGUAAUGGCCUACCAAGUCUACGAUCUAUAGCUGGUUUUAGAGGAUGAUCAGCAACACUGGGACUGAGACACGGCCCAGACUCCUACGGGAGGCAGCAGUGGGGAAUCUUAGACAAUGGGCGCAAGCCUGAUCUAGCCAUGCCGCGUGAGUGAAGAAGGCCCUAGGGUCGUAAAGCUCUUUCGCCAGGGAUGAUAAUGACAGUACCUGGUAAAGAAACCCCGGCUAACUCCGUGCCAGCAGCCGCGGUAAUACGGAGGGGGUUAGCGUUGUUCGGAAUUACUGGGCGUAAAGCGUACGUAGGCGGAUCAGAAAGUAUGGGGUGAAAUCCCAGGGCUCAACCCUGGAACUGCCUCAUAAACUCCUGGUCUUGAGUUCGAGAGAGGUGAGUGGAAUUCCGAGUGUAGAGGUGAAAUUCGUAGAUAUUCGGAGGAACACCAGUGGCGAAGGCGGCUCACUGGCUCGAUACUGACGCUGAGGUACGAAAGUGUGGGGAGCAAACAGGAUUAGAUACCCUGGUAGUC
rnacentral:rRNA from 1 species